GGUUUUAAGGAAGAAACUGACAGUCCAAAAAAAUGAAAGUGAAGUUGCGAUCUCAAGUAACUGGGAAUUCAAAUUCAGCAUCGCACAGUGGCAUAGCUGCUCUGUAGACAAUAAAGUAUUUGAAAGUCAUCUUUUCCUUGGCAUUUUGAAUAACAAGUUCAGUGAGAUAAAGCACAAUGAAGAUCUUUUGAAGAAGCAUCUGGAAUUCAUCUGUGUAAAGAAGCAACUAUUUCUUCUGUGGCUAGCUGGAGAUUUCAAAGUUUGAAGAUCUAAACAUCUCAAGGUCAGCCUGAAUUUGCUUGAGCAGAAAGCAUGCAUGGCUUGUUUGUGUGGUAUUUCUGUUCCACUAUUUUCAUGACUCUUAGUGUGGUGCAAUGGGAAAAGCUUUGGUUGAGUCUCAGAAACCAAGCCUAUAAAUCAGUAAGUCAAUCAACAAGUCUGGGGAACAAUAUGUUCUUCUAUUUUAAUUUCUUUGUGGGAAAUGUGUAAAUAGAUACUGGCAAUGAAGCUGGAAUAUAAUGGGUACUUAUAAAUUAAGGCAUCCAAUGAUUUAUCCUCUCUACGUGCAAUGUGAAAAGAGGUUAUGCUUUCUGAUCUGUUAAAACCCUAUUUUUAAAAUGAUAAAAUUUUAGUUUUUAAGGAUGAGAAUUACUGUCUGCUGACCAGUUUCCAAAAAUGUGGGAAGUUAGCAUACUGAGAAGAAAUUUAGGGACUCUUAGCAGAACAUUUCCACAUGCCAAUGCUUGCACAUUAUCAGAGACCUACUCAUGGCACUUAACACACCACACAACAUCAGGGCAGCCCAUCCUGGGCAGGGGUGGCACUUGUCACUACAGACUCAAUCUGUCCCUGUACAUCCCCCAG
rnacentral:lncRNA from 1 species